UUGUUUACAGUGCCCGGAUCGGCUCCAACAGUGGCUUUCGUGUUCCUCUGUCCAUCCUUUCCCCUGUAUGGACCAGAUGGAAUUUUUCAGCGCCUCUACUUCCCAGCUACCGGCCUGUUCUACCCCUCUUUCUUCCCGAUCGAGUGGGAGGACAGGUUCGAGUACUGGGAGUGGCGUCUGCGCAGCCAUGCUGCACACCUGUGCUUCGUGGAACUGACUUGGAGACUCUACCAGAAGACCAGGUUUGCCACAUCUGCCUGCAGACAGCUGGAUCCUCCGUCAGACAGGGACAACGAACACAAGGGCCCCUGCAUCGCGCUCACAGAAGAGGACUGGGAACCACCACGGAAGAAGCUUCGCGUCUGAUUCACCAGUAUCCUUUAGUAUCCUUUAUUUAUUUCUCUGUAUAUAUCUCUUUAUUUAUCUUAAGUUUCCUUCACAUUUUUUACAGUUAAUAAAUGUUCUUUAUAUUUUAUAGAGUUAAUUUAUUUUCUUUAUAUUUUUAGAGAGGUAAUGAAUUUACUUUACAUUUUUAUAGAGUUAAUAAGUUACAUUUUCAU